UACGUAGGGGGCUAGCGUUGUCCGGAAUCAUUGGGCGUAAAGAGCGCGUAGGCGGUCCGGUAAGUCCGCUGUGAAAGUCGGGGGCUCAACCCUCGAAUGCCGGUGGAUACUGUCGGGCUAGAGUGCUGAAGAGGCGAGUGGAAUUCCUGGUGUAGCGGUGGAAUGCGCAGAUAUCAGGAGGAACACCAAUAGCGAAGGCAGCUCGCUGGGACGUUACUGACACUGAGGCGCGAAAGCGUGGGGAGCGAACAGG
rnacentral:rRNA from 1 species